rnacentral:lncRNA from 10 species
AAGGAUGGAGACGGUUUAUUGUUAUACCAAAAAUAUAUGUAUAUAUCUAUAUAUAUAUGCAGAAAUAAAGGAUCAGAAGGCUAUAAACCCAAGUAUCAUUAGCAUUUAUAUCUAGGUGCAGCAUUAAGCCUGAAUUCCCCUUUACACUUUAUUUUACACUGAACGUGUAUCCUAUGUACAAUAGAGUUAAGCAAUAAAGCUGUCUUCAUUUGGAAAUCAAGGCACCAUUAUCAUCCACAUCUUCACCAGGACUGUGGUUGGGGACCAAGGGGAGUAGGGAUGAAGAUGUCCCUCUCAGAAACCAGGAAGAGCCAAGCCGCGACUCCCCGCUCCCCAACCCAUCCUCAUUCCUCCUCUACUGCCUGUGGCCAUCACCGUGGGGCCUGUGUUAGAGACAGGUGGGGAAAAGAGCCCAAGAGCCGUCUGCCUGCACAGAGGGCAUCAUAAAUGAGAGGGGAGGCCGGGCGCAGUGGCUCACGCCUGUAAUCCCAGCACUUUGGGAGGCCGAGGCGGGUGGAUCAUGAGGUCAGAUCGAGACCAGCCUGGCUAACACGGUGAAACCCCAUCUCUACUAAAAAUACAAAAAAUUAGCCAGGCGUGGUGGUGGGCGCCUGUAGUCCCAGCUACUUGGGAGGCUGAGGCAGGAGAAUGGUGUGAACCUGGGAGGCGGAGCUUGCAGUGAGCCAAGAUCGCCACCACUGCACUCCAGCCUGGGCGACAGAGCGAGACUCCAUCUCAAAAAAAAAAAAGAUGGGGGAACAUGGCAGCACCUUUAAAACAGCAACACGGGCCAGGCGUGGUAGCUCAUGCCUGUAAUCUCAGCACUUUGGGAAGCUGAGGCAGGCGGAUCACCUGAGGUCAGGAGUUCAAGACCAGCCUGGCCAACAUGGAAAAACCCCCUCUCUAUUAAAAAGACGAAAAUUAGCUGGGUGUGGUGAUGGGUGCCUGUAAUCCCAGCUACUUGGAAAGCUGAGGCAGGAGAAUUACUUGAACCCAGGAGGCGGAGGUUGCAGUGAGCCAAGAUCGUACCACUGCACUCCAGCCUGGGCGACAGAGUAAGACUCCAUCUCAAAACAAAAAAAACAAAAAACAAAAACCACCAAAAAACAAAAAACAGCAGCACAUUAACACUCACAAAUGAAUAUGUACAUGCCAAGAAGCUGAGUGUAACAGGAGAUUAACAGAGGGUGAGUAGCAGGAUGGAUGUCUGGGGAGGGAUGUUAAUACAGCAAAGGUGUGUUGGCACUAAUUGCUCCCAGGUAAGGAAGGCAGGUCCAGCUCCUGGUGCAGGUGGCUACAGGUCCAAGAGGGGUAUCCAGCAGAGGGGCCGGUAGGUUAGGACACCUUGGUGGUCAGGACAUUCUGGCGGUCAGGACACCUUGGUGACGCCGUUCCCUGCUGAGAGUGCUCUCCCCACCCUGAUGAGGUCCUUUCCAUUCCUCCGGUUGCUAGGGCACAGGGGACUCAAGGGCAGCUCUGCAGGCCAGUUGGAUGGGUGGCGGGGAGUGCAGCGAGGAAGGAAAGUGACGCUCUGUCCCCGUCCUCCAGCCCACCUCCCACCUGUCUCAUCAGCAGCAUCCCUGAGAUGCUUGGCAAUACCCUAGGCCCUCCUUUCUUCUGGGUCUCAGCUCCUGGGGUAUUUUGUCCCAGCCAAUGCAUUCAUGGAAACUGGGCUUUGAGGGAGGCUCCUCAGAGAGAUCAAAGGUGGCAUUGAGGUCUCGAGUGGGCAGAGCCAGCGGGGUGGAGCAGUUCUGCAUGGCGGAAGGGCCCAGGGGCACCCGGCUUUUGAUGACUGUGGCUGGGCAAACGCGAGGGGAAUGGCAGGGGGAGGAGGCCCUUUCUCC